rnacentral:tRNA from 10 species
GACUUAAAAUCCGUCGACUUUUAAAAUCGUGAGGGUUCAAGUCCCUCUAUCCCCA